AAGGGAGGUGCCAGCACAACAACGUCAGUUUCUGUGUUGCAAAAUUUGCUGGCAGUAAGGAAAGGUUUGGUGUAGAAGGUCACAGACUGCACCACGUGCCAAGUCAAGAAUGAAUACAGAACAGUGGCCAAGCUUCAGUUUUAAUAAAAGCUGUGCCUGGCUCCAAUUUCAACAUAAUAUCAAGAAAAUACAGAUGCCAACAUGUAUUAAACAACAAAAUAAGGUACUGAAAGGACACACUGAGGUCUUGGAGCCUUCCCAGCUGCAGCUGAGCAACCACAACUCCUUCAGCCUUUCCUCACAGGAAAGAUGUUCCAAGUCUCCAAGCAUCCUUGUGGCUCUCCUCUGGACCCACUCCAGCAAAUCCAACAGGUACUCCCUGCGGAAUUAGAGCUGAAGUCUUGAUCCUGCAUAUUCUGGAAGACAAUGAUGCUCUGCAUGAAUGCAGCAAGCUACCUGUGGACUGCCAAGAAACUGCAGGACUGAAAUCUAAAUCUGGCUAAUUAAUCCAUCAUCCUUCCUGCUUGAGGUUUUUGAGUUUAGUCAGUUACUACAUACUGAAACCCCCACACAGUUCAAUGUUUAUACUGCAUUAAUGUAGUAAGAAUGACUUGUAAAUUAAUGAAGAAAUUAUUGAAAAAAUAAUCUCAAACCUGUCCCUAAGUUUAAGUAAGUAACAGAUGUUACCAAAUAUAUGUUUUGUGUACAAUGAGAAAAAUAAAUAAAAAAAUACUCCUUGUGAAUUUUAAGCUAGUGGUUUUUCUUGCAACAUAUUUUACAUAGAAAAAUAUAAACUUAUAACAAUCAUCUAUGUGCAAAAAUAUAUAUUUAUA